AACGUACUUAUUUCUCCUAAUAAGAAAAUUAGAAAAUACACAGAUAAAAGAAUCAUAUUUAUUUUAAGAUUAUAUAACAUUACAUUUUAUAUUUUUUUAACUCUGCAUUCAAGAACUUUUUCGGUCGGGCGUAGCAGCUACUCUAAAUGAUUUGGCGUAUAUGUGACGCGUGUCUUACAGCUAGCGUAAAAUGAUUUUAUAUACAAAUUAACUUACAAAAACAUGAUAUUCUAAUAAUUUAUCUAUAUCUACUAAUAUUAUUUAUUAUGUAUUAAUUAUAUAGUAAUAUUAAUUUUUGUAUUUUUUGUAUGAUAAUUUAUAAAGCAUUCACCAAGAUUGCAUUCUUGAAUAUAACUGAUCCCAUUUUUCAAUAGUUCAAAAUCAAGGUUUCUAAGCUAUAAUAAUUUUGCCAUCCGUCGUUGAAUCCGAUCUAACGUUGGAGACGUUGUCCGAACAAUAGUUUCGAAGGGAUUUGAGAUUAAAUAUUUUAUCUCCAUUUUAAAAUCUAGCACUUUACGCUUUCUAACAAAAGACAUAAAGAGCUAAGGAAUCAAUUUAGAACCAAUGUUGCACUCUCACCAAUUGGAGAUGUUGAAAUCUAGCAUAAACAGGGACUGUCGCCUCUCACUCGCCACAGGAAUUGCAGUACGGAACGCCGUGGCGACUGAGAGUCGCCUCUCGAG